CUCUUUUGUGAUAGCAUGAACUAUACUAACAAUCUUCUACAUUCUUGAAUUUGCCUGGCCACACCCUUUAUGACAUCAUGAAUUGCCUUACCACUUUGGAAUGUCAACUAAUGCCUUCAUACUACUCCAAUCAUUGCCAAUUUCUUUGUAUCAUGUCCAAUGUAUUAACCUCAUUCAGGACUGUAGCCUAGGAUGGGAUGUGGAAAGCAAAUUUGUAUGGCUCCACAAAAGGAACCCAAAAUUUAGCACCGACAAGCCCAGAUCAGGGGGAUUAACAGUGGUCUAAGUCAGUCAUGACCAUCACACUCCCUUCUGCCAGAUACUGACUCUCCCAUCAUAUCUUGAAGGUCCUUCUGCUGCUUCCUCCAUCCUCAUGUUUUUCCUACUUUUGGAUGUGGUCAUGAUUCAUGAUGUCAGGAAGUAUGACAGCCAUCUUUCAACUUUCCAUAAACUUGAAGAUGAAAAGCCAGAGCCCAGAAAAGGAAAAAGACUGUGAUGAUACUGUUUAGCAACUGAAGCAAUGCCAACAACUACCUACCUCCAAACUUACUUUUAUGAUAGAAAGUUAAACUUCAAUUCACUGAAGCCUCUGUCAUCAGGUUUUACAUCAUUUUAGGUGAAUAAAGAUACAGAAUAUGGAA